rnacentral:rRNA from 1 species
AUUAGAACGCUGGCGGCAUGCCUUACACAUGCAAGGUCGAACGGCAGCGACGGGGCAACCUGGUGGCGAGUGGCGGAACGGGUGAAGUAAUGUAUCGGAACGUACCAUUCAGGUGGGGGAUAACGUAGACGAAAGUUACGCUAAUACCGCAUAUUCUGUGAGCAGGAAAGCAGGGGAUCGCAAGACCUUGCGCUGAUUGAGCGGCCGAUAUCAGAUUAGCUAGUUGGUGAGGUAAAAGCUCACCAAGGCGACGAUCUGUAGCGGGUCUGAGAGGAUGAUCCGCCACACUGGAACUGAGACACGGUCCAGACUCCUACGGGAGGCAGCAGUGGGGAAUUUUGGACAAUGGGGGCAACCCUGAUCCAGCCAUGCCGCGUGAGUGAAGAAGGCCUUCGGGUUGUAAAGCUCUUUCGGCCGGGAAGAAAUCGCAUGGGUUAAUACCCUGUGUGGAUGACGGUACCGGAAUAAGAAGCACCGGCUAACUACGUG